rnacentral:lncRNA from 1 species
AUGAAAAUAAUAACAUUAUAACCAUCAUAAAAUCAUAUACACUUUGUAACAUAACACAUGUUAUACUUUUGCACUUCAAUAAUCAUACAACAAUUCUCCUCUUUUACCAGCCUACUAGUAUCCAUGGGGAUCCAUAGGGGGUCCCCGCUACACGUGAACCAUUAACAUUAAUAACCUGAUUCCAGGGCCGUCCCCAUACCCCGUCCGGUAUGGGUGCCAAAAUCAUAAACCUCAAUACCCCGUCCGGUAUGAGGGUGAAACGGGCCGUCCCCAUAUCCCGUCC